rnacentral:rRNA from 1 species
GAUGAACGCUGGCGGCGUGCCUAAUACAUGCAAGUCGAGCGAACAGACGAGGAGCUUGCUCCUCUGACGUUAGCGGCGGACGGGUGAGUAACACGUGGAUAACCUACCUAUAAGACUGGGAUAACUUCGGGAAACCGGAGCUAAUACCGGAUAAUAUAUUGAACCGCAUGGUUCAAUAGUGAAAGACGGUUUUGCUGUCACUUAUAGAUGGAUCCGCGCCGCAUUAGCUAGUUGGUAAGGUAACGGCUUACCAAGGCAACGACGCGUAGCCGACCUGAGAGGGUGAUCGGCCACACUGGAACUGAGACACGGUCCAGGCUCCUACGGGAGGCAGCAGUAGGGAAUCUUCCGCAAUGGGCGAAAGCCUGACGGAGCAACGCCGCGUGAGUGAUGAAGGUCUUCGGAUCGUAAAACUCUGUUAUUAGGGAAGAACAAAUGUGUAAGUAACUAUGCACGUCUUGACGGUACCUAAUCAGAAAGCCACGGCUAACUACGU